GGCCGCCUGGCGAAAUGGCAUCGCGUCUGACUACGAUUUCUUACCUCUAGGUAUGUAUGCUGUAUAAUCAGGAGAUUGCAGGUUCGACCCCUGCGGUGGUCA